rnacentral:rRNA from 1 species
AACGAACGCUGGCGGCAUGCCUAACACAUGCAAGUCGAACGAGACCUUCGGGUCUAGUGGCGCACGGGUGCGUAACGCGUGGGAACCUGCCUUUAGGUUCGGAAUAACUCAGAGAAAUUUGAGCUAAUACCGGAUAAUGUCUUCGGACCAAAGAUUUAUCGCCUUUAGAUGGGCCCGCGUAAGAUUAGCUAGUUGGUGGGUAAAGGCCUACCAAGGCGACGAUCUUUAGCUGGUCUGAGAGGAUGAUCAGCCACACUGGGACUGAGACACGGCCCAGACUCCUACGGGAGGCAGCAGUGGGGAAUAUUGGACAAUGGGCGAAAGCCUGAUCCAGCAAUGCCGCGUGAGUGAUGAAGGCCUUAGGGUUGUAAAGACUCUUUUACCCGUAGAUGAUAAUGACAGUAUCGGGAGAAUAAGCUCCGGCUAACUACCGUCGCAGCAGCCGCGGUAAU